rfam:Daphnia pulex DAPPTscaffold_390_Cont9284, whole genome shotgun sequence.
GUCAGGAUGGCCGAGCGGUCUAAGGCGCCAGACUCAAGGACAAAUUCUCUUGCUUCAUUAAGAGAAGUUGCAGUAUUCUGGUCUCCAAUGAAGGCGUGGGUUCAAAUCCCACUCCUGACC